GUGGGGAAUAUUGGACAAUGGGCGAAAGCCUGAUCCAGCCAUGCCGCGUGUGUGAAGAAGGUCUUCGGAUUGUAAAGCACUUUAAGUUGGGAGGAAGGGCAGUAAGUUAAUACCUUGCUGUUUUGACGUUACCAACAGAAUAAGCACCGGCUAACUUCGUGCCAGCAGCCGCGGUAAUACGAAGGGUGCAAGCGUUAAUCGGAAUUACUGGGCGUAAAGCGCGCGUAGGUGGUUUUGUAAGUUGGAGGUGAAAUCCCCGGGCUCAACCUGGGAACUGCCUCCAAAACUGCAUGACUAGAGUACGGUAGAGGGUAGUGGAAUUUCCUGUGUAGCGGUGAAAUGCGUAGAUAUAGGAAGGAACACCAGUGGCGAAGGCGACUACCUGGACUGAUACUGACACUGAGGUGCGAAAGCGUGGAGAGCAAACAGGAUUAGAUACCCGUGUAGUCC
rnacentral:rRNA from 1 species